rnacentral:rRNA from 1 species
GGGCCCGCACAAGCAGCGGAGCAUGUGGUUUAAUUCGAAGCAACGCGAAGAACCUUACCAGGGCUUGACAUCCCGAUGACCGGUACAGAGAUGUACCUUCCCUUCGGGGCAUUGGAGACAGGUGGUGCAUGGUUGUCGUCAGCUCGUGUCGUGAGAUGUUGGGUUAAGUCCCGCAACGAGCGCAACCCCUAUCCUUAGUUGCCAUCAGUUAAAGCUGGGCACUCUAAAGAGACUGCCGGGGAUAACUCGGAGGAAGGUGGGGAUGACGUCAAAUCAUCAUGCCCCUUAUGUCCUGGGCUACACACGUGCUACAAUGGCCUGUAACAGAGGGAAGCGAAGCCGUAAGGCGGAGCAAAACUCAGAAACCAGGUCCCAGUUCGGAUUGUGGGCUGCAACUCGCCCACAUGAAGUCGGAGUUGCUAGUAAUCGCGAAUCAGCAUGUCGCGGUGAAUACGUUCCCGGGCCUU